rnacentral:rRNA from 1 species
GAUGAACGCUGGCGGCGUGCUUAACACAUGCAAGUCGAACGAUGAAGCCCAGCUUGCUGGGUGGAUUAGUGGCGAACGGGUGAGUAACACGUGAGUAACCUGCCCUUGACUCUGGGAUAAGCCUGGGAAACUGGGUCUAAUACUGGAUAUGACUUCUCAUCGCAUGGUGGGGGGUGGAAAGAUUUAUUGGUCUUGGAUGGACUCGCGGCCUAUCAGCUUGUUGGUGAGGUAAUGGCUCACCAAGGCGACGACGGGUAGCCGGCCUGAGAGGGUGACCGGCCACACUGGGGCUGAGACACGGCCCAGACUCCUACGGGAGGCAGCAGUGGGGAAUAUUGCACAAUGGGCGCAAGCCUGAUGCAGCGACGCCGCGUGAGGGAUGACGGCCUUCGGGUUGUAAACCUCUUUCAGUAGGGAAGAAGCGAGAGUGACGGUACCUGCAGAAGAAGCGCCGGCUAACUACGUG